ACUUAAAUAGCUUAUAGAGAGUAUGGUAUUGAAGAUACUAAGGAAAUUACAAAUUUUUAAGUA
rnacentral:tRNA from 1 species